rnacentral:rRNA from 1 species
UACGUAGGGGGCGAGCGUUGUCCGGAGUACUGGCGUAAAGCGCACGCAGGCGGUCUGCUAAGUUUGGAGUGACAGUUGGUGGCUUAACUGCCAAAGUGCUUCGAAAACUGAACAGACUUGAGGGCUUACAGAGGGACACGGAAUUCCGGGGUGGAGUGGUGAAAUGGACGUAGGAGAUCCGGAAGGAACACCAAAGGCGAAAGGCACGGUGG